AUUAAAUAGAUUCUAAUAAUGGGUGUUUUGAAAGCGCCCUUUAAGGUAAUCUUUGGGCUGUG
rnacentral:tRNA from 1 species